UUUCCUAACAUGUUCCGAAGACAUGCAGUCUGCGGGGAAAAAAAGAAUAAAUGUAGCAUCCAGAACACAUACCAAGACUGCAAAAGCAUUUAAACCUUAUGAUUUAAAUGUAUAUCUUUUGGAUAAAAAUUCUGAGACUACCCCUUCACCUGCACACGAACUUAAGCUUGUUCAAGCAGGGCUUGGCAAAAGGACUUUCUCAAUUGCAAUGGACAUGACACAUUCAGAGUUUUCCAGCAUAAUGUAUGAAGCAUUCCCGAAAAUGGAGGGUUUGAGUGGAGGAUGGAUUUUUAUAAGGCUACUGGGGGGUGUGGUAUAAGACAGCUAAACACUAUUCCUCCAGACUCAGAAGGUUACACUGGAUCCCAAAUCAAAUC